rnacentral:rRNA from 1 species
CCUACGGGAGGCAGCAGUGAGGAAUAUUGGUCAAUGGGCGCGAGCCUGAACCAGCCAAGUAGCGUGAAGGAUGACAGCCCUACGGGUUGUAAACUUCUUUUAUAUGGGAAUAAAGUGAGGCACGUGUGCCUCUUUGUGUAUAUACUAUGAAUAAGGAGCGGCUAACUUCGUGCAAGCAGCCGCGGUAAUACGGAGGAUGCGAGCGUUGUCCGGAUUUAUUGGGUUUAAAGGGAGCGUAUAUGGGUUGUUAAGUCAGGUGUGAAAGUUUGCGGCUCAACCGUAAAAUUGCAAUUGAUACUGGCAGCCUUGAGUACAGUUGGGGGAGGCGGAAUUCGUGGUGUAGCGGUGAAAUGCUUAGAUAUCACGAAGAACUCCGAUGGCGAAGGCAGGUUACUGAACUGCCACUGACGCUGAGGCUCGAAAGUGAGGGUAUCAAACAGGAUUAGAUACCCUUGUAGUC